UACCAGCUCUGCGAGUGGUGUGGAUGUUUAUUGGGCCUAAAGCAUCCGUAGCUGACUGGGCAAGUCCCCUGUUAAAUCCACCGAUUUAAUCGUUGGAGUGCGGGGGAUACUGUUCGGCUAGGGGACGGGAGAGGCAGACGGUAUUUUCGGGGUAGGGGUGAAAUCCUAUAAUCCCGGGAAGACCACCAGUGGCGAAGGCUGUCUGCUAGAACGCGCCCGACGGUGAGGGAUGAAAGCUGGGGAGCGAACCGGAUUAGAUACCCGGGUAGUCCCAGCUGUAAACGAUGCUGGCUAGGUGUUUGGGCGGCCACGUGCCGCUCUAGUGCCGCAGGGAAGCCGUUAAGCCUGCCGCCUGGGGAGUACGGCCGCAAGGCUAGAAACUUAAAGGAAUUGGCGGGGAGCACACAAGGGGUGAAGCUUGCGGUUU
rnacentral:rRNA from 1 species